rfam:Ovis aries breed Texel chromosome 10, whole genome shotgun sequence.
CAAUAGAUUUGGGAUUUUUCAAAUUCUGGUAGCCAGUCA